rnacentral:rRNA from 1 species
GAUGAACGCUGGCGGCGUGCCUAAUACAUGCAAGUCGAGCGAACAGACGAGGAGCUUGCUCCUCUGACGUUAGCGGCGGACGGGUGAGUAACACGUGGAUAACCUACCUAUAAGACUGGGAUAACUUCGGGAAACCGGAGCUAAUACCGGAUAAUAUAUUGAACCGCAUGGUUCAAUAGUGAAAGACGGUUUUGCUGUCACUUAUAGAUGGAUCCGCGCCGCAUUAGCUAGUUGGUAAGGUAACGGCUUACCAAGGCAACGAUGCGUAGCCGACCUGAGAGGGUGAUCGGCCACACUGGAACUGAGACACGGUCCAGACUCCUACGGGAGGCAGCAGUAGGGAAUCUUACGCAAUGGGCCAAAACCUGACGGAGCAACGCCGCGUGAGUGAUGAAGGUCUUCGGAUCGUAAAACUCUGUUAUUAGGGAAGAACAAAUGUGUAAGUAACUAUGCACGUCUUGACGGUACCUAAUCAGAAAGCCACGGCUAACUACGUG